rnacentral:rRNA from 1 species
AGUGAACGCUGGCGGUAGGCCUAACACAUGCAAGUCGAACGGCAGCACAGUAAGAGCUUGCUCUUACGGGUGGCGAGUGGCGGACGGGUGAGGAAUACAUCGGAAUCUACUUUUUCGUGGGGGAUAACGUAGGGAAACUUACGCUAAUACCGCAUACGACCUACGGGUGAAAGCAGGGGAUCUUCGGACCUUGCGCGAUUGAAUGAGCCGAUGUCGGAUUAGCUAGUUGGCGUGGUAAAGGCCCACCAAGGCGACGAUCCGUAGCUGGUCUGAGAGGAUGAUCAGCCACACUGGAACUGAGACACGGUCCAGACUCCUACGGGAGGCAGCAGUGGGGAAUAUUGGACAAUGGGCGCAAGCCUGAUCCAGCCAUACCGCGUGGGUGAAGAAGGCCUUCGGGUUGUAAAGCCCUUUUGUUUGGAAAGAAAAGCAGCAGGUUAAUACCCCGCUGUUCUGACGGUACCCAAAGAAUAAGCACCGGCUAACUUCGUG